GUGGGGAAUAUUGCACAAUGGGGGGAACCCUGAUGCAGCGACGCCGCGUGGAGGAAGAAGGUCUUCGGAUUGUAAACUCCUGUUGUUAGGGACGAUAAUGACGGUACCUAACAAGGAAGCACCGGCUAACUACGUGCCAGCAGCCGCGGUAAAACGUAGGGUGCAAGCGUUGUCCGGAAUUACUGGGUGUAAAGGGAGCGCAGGCGGGCAUGCAAGUUGGAAGUGAAAACUAUGGGCUCAACCCAUAGCCUGCUUUCAAAACUGCGUGUCUUGAGUAGUGCAGAGGUAGGCGGAAUUCCCGGUGUAGCGGUGGAAUGCGUAGAUAUCGGGAGGAACACCAGUGGCGAAGGCGGCCUACUGGGCACCAACUGACGCUGAGGCUCGAAAGCAUGGGUAGCAAACAGGAUUAGAAACCCUAGUAGUCC
rnacentral:rRNA from 1 species